rnacentral:rRNA from 1 species
AGAGUUUGAUCAUGGCUCAGAUUGAACGCUGGCGGCAUGCCUUACACAUGCAAGUCGAACGCAGCGCGGGAGCANNCCUGGCGGCGAGUGGCGAACGGGUGAGUAAUAUAUCGGAACGUGCCCUGUAGCGGGGGGAUAACCUAUCGAAAGAUGGACUAAUACCGCAUACGCUCUACGGAGGAAAGCGGGGGUCGCAAGCCUCGCACUAUAGGAGCGGCCGAUAUCGGAUUAGCUAGUUGGCGGGGUAAAAGCCCACCAAGGCGACGAUCCGUAGCUGGUCUGAGAGGAUGAUCAGCCACACUGGAACUGAGACACGGUCCAGACUCCUACGGGAGGCAGCAGUGGGGAAUUUUGGACAAUGGGCGCAAGCCUGAUCCAGCCAUGCCGCGUGAGUGAAGAAGGCCUUCGGGUUGUAAAGCUCUUUCGGCAGGAACGAAAUGGUUCGUGCUAAUACCACGGACUGAUGACGGUACCUGAAGAAGAAGCACCGGCUAACUACGUGCCAGCAGCCGCGGUAAUACGUAGGGUGCAGGCGUUAAUCGGAGUUACUGGGCGUAAAGCGUGCGCAGGCGGUUUCUUAAGUCAGAUGUGAAAGCCCCGGGCUUAACCUGGGAACUGCGUUUGAAACUGGGAGACUUGAGUGUGGCAGAGGGGGGUGGAAUUCCACGUAGCAGUGAAAUGCGUAGAUAUGUGGAGGAACACCGAUGGCGAAGGCAGCCCCCUGGGUUAACACUGACGCUCAUGCACGAAAGCGUGGGGAGCAAACAGGAUUAGAUACCCUAGUAGUCC